rnacentral:rRNA from 1 species
GAUGAACGCUGGCGGCGUGCCUAAUACAUGCAAGUCGAGCGAACAGACGAGGAGCUUGCUCCUCUGACGUUAGCGGCGGACGGGUGAGUAACACGUGGAUAACCUACCUAUAAGACUGGGAUAACUUCGGGAAACCGGUGCUAAUACCGGAUAACAUGUUGAACCGCAUGGUUCAACAGUGAAAGACGGUCUUGCUGUCACUUAUAGAUGGAUCCGCGCCGCAUUAGCUAGUUGGUAAGGUAACGGCUUACCAAGGCAACGAUGCGUAGCCGACCUGAGAGGGUGAUCGGCCACACUGGAACUGAGACACGGUCCAGACUCCUACGGGAGGCAGCAGUAGGGAAUCUUCCGCAAUGGGCGAAAGCCUGACGGAGCAACGCCGCGUGAGUGAAGAAGGUCUUCGGAUCGUAAAACUCUGUUAUUAGGGAAGAACAAAUGUGUAAGUAACUAUGCACGUCUUGACGGUACCUAAUCAGAAAGCCACGGCUAACUACGUG